UAACACAUGCAAGUCGAACGGUAACGGUCCCUUCGGGGAGCCGACGAGUGGCGGACGGGUGAGUAACGCGUAGGAAUCUGCCUGGUAGUGGAGGACAACCCGGGGAAACUCGGGCUAAUACUGCAUACGCCCUACGGGGGAAAGCGGGGGAUCUUCGGACCUCGCGCUAUCAGAUGAGCCUGCGUUGGAUUAGCUUGUUGGUGGGGUAAUGGCCCACCAAGGCGACGAUCCAUAGCUGGUCUGAGAGGAUGAUCAGCCACACUGGGACUGAGACACGGCCCAGACUCCUACGGGAGGCAGCAGUGGGGAAUAUUGGACAAUGGGCGAAAGCCUGAUCCAGCAAUGCCGC
rnacentral:rRNA from 1 species